rnacentral:rRNA from 1 species
UGAACGCUGGCGGCGUGCUUAACACAUGCAAGUCGAGCGAGAAAAGAUGGAAUGAGUCUUCGGAUGAAUGAAGUUUUGGAAAGCGGCGGACGGGUGAGUAACGCGUGGGCAACCUGGCCUAUACAAAGGGAUAGCCACUGGAAACGGUGAUUAAUACCAUAUGAAAUCAUAGAGUCGCAUGACUUGAUGAUCAAAGAUUUAUCGGUAUAGGAUGGGCCCGCGUCUGAUUAGCUAGUUGGUAUGGUAACGGCAUACCAAGGCGACGAUCAGUAGCCGACCUGAGGGGGUGAACGGCCACACUGGAACUGAGACACGGUCCAGACUCCUACGGGAGGCAGCAGUGGGGAAUAUUGCACAAUGGGCGAAAGCCUGAUGCAGCAACGCCGCGUGAGCGAAGAAGGCUUUCGGGUCGUAAAGCUCUGUCCUAAGGGAAGAAAAAAAUGACGGUACCUUAGGAGGAAGCCCCGGCUAACUACGUGCCAGCAGCCGCGGUAAUACGUAGGGGGCAAGCGUUAUCCGGAAUCACUGGGCGUAAAGGGUGCGUAGGCGGCUAAUCAAGCCAGGAGUGAAAGGCUAUGGCUUAACCAUAGUAAGCUUUUGGAACUGAAUAGCUUGAGUGCAGGAGAGGAAAGUGGAAUUCCUAGUGUAGAGGUGAAAUUCGUAGAUAUUAGGAGGAACACCAGUGGCGAAGGCGACUUUCUGGGACUGUACUGACACUG